AAGGGUGUAGUUCAGAGAUAGAGCAUGUGUCUAGCAUGCACUAAGCCCUGAGUUCCAUUCUCAGCAUCCAAA
rnacentral:tRNA from 1 species